rnacentral:rRNA from 1 species
AACGAACGCUGGCGGCAUGCCUAACACAUGCAAGUCGAACGAGACCUUCGGGUCUAGUGGCGCACGGGUGCGUAACGCGUGGGAACCUGCCCUUAGGUUCGGAAUAACUCCCCGAAAGGGGUGCUAAUACCGGAUAAUGUCUUCGGACCAAAGGUUUAUCGCCUUUGGAUGGGCCCGCGUUGGAUUAGCUAGUUGGUAGGGUAAAAGCCUACCAAGGCGACGAUCCAUAGCUGGUCUGAGAGGAUGAUCAGCCACACUGGGACUGAGACACGGCCCAGACUCCUACGGGGGGCAGCAGUGGGGAAUAUUGGACGAUGGGCGAAAGCCUGAUCCAGCAAUGCCGCGUGAGUGAUGAAGGCCGUAGGGUUGUAAAGCUCUUUUACCCGGGAUGAUAAUGACAGUACCGGGAGAAUAAGCUCCGGCUAACUCCG